rnacentral:tRNA from 1 species
GGGGAUGCAGCUCAGUGGUAGAGCGCUUGCCUAGCAUGCAUGAAGUCCUGGGUUCCAUCCCCAGCACCACAA